rnacentral:rRNA from 1 species
GAUGAACGCUGGCGGCGUGCCUAAUACAUGCAAGUCGAGCGAACGGACGAGAAGCUUGCUUCUCUGAUGUUAGCGGCGGACGGGUGAGUAACACGUGGAUAACCUACCUAUAAGACUGGGAUAACUUCGGGAAGCCGGAGCUAAUACCGGAUAAUAUUUUGAACCGCAUGGUUCAAAAGUGAAAGACGGUCUUGCUGUCACUUAUAGAUGGAUCCGCGCUGCAUUAGCUAGUUGGUAAGGUAACGGCUUACCAAGGCAACGAUGCAUAGCCGACCUGAGAGGGUGAUCGGCCACACUGGAACUGAGACACGGUCCAGACUCCUACGGGAGGCAGCAGUAGGGAAUCUUCCGCAAUGGGCGAAAGCCUGACGGAGCAACGCCGCGUGGGUGAUGAAGGUCUUCGGAUCGUAAAACUCUGUUAUUAGGGAAGAACAUAUGUGUAAGUAACUGUGCACAUCUUGACGGUACCUAAUCAGAAAGCCACGGCUAACUACGUG